AUGCAGGAAUCUUAUAUCCAGGAGCUGCUGGGAAACCUCCCAAGCCAGGUAAGGAACAGGGGCUGCUCCGGCUGGCAGGGCUGGAGGGGUGACCCCCAUCCCUGUCCCCAUCCCUGGUCCCACCCUCCCCACCCUCACCAGGACUCUCCCAUCCCGCAGGUUUUGGUGUUGGGGGGCUGCAGCCAGGUGAGUGCCGCCGUUUGGGGCUGGGGUGGGAGCAUGUCCCCUACCACACCAUGCUUGUCACUGCUUGCUGUCCCCACCCUGCUACCGUCCCCCACUGGGCACUCCACUGCCCAGGAGAGCACCCCGAAGCCACGUGGGUGCCAUGGCGGGGACAGGGGCUUUUGCAGCAGCUCCUGUCCCUGCAGUGAGCCAGGGUGUCCCCAGCAGGGGUGUUCCCGGCCAGGGCAUCCCCAGGCAGGCAGGGUUGGGGUGGCACUGCUGUCACAGGCUGUCACUCGCUGUCGCUUUUUCCCCAGGGGCUGGAGUUCCCGGCUUUGGCGUGUCACCGAUAUUUCCAGGUGGGGUUGCCGGCCAGCUGGGAUUCGCUGGGAAGCCCCCCAAGACCUUCGGAGGAGCCCUCGGUGCCCUGGGCUUCAGAGGCGGCGUGGGCUGCGCACAAGGGAAGUACUGCGGGAGGAAGCGGAAGUAACCGCCCGCCGUCACUGAUGACCUCAUGAACUUUGGUGCUACUGCAUGGUCCAGAAUGUAAAACCCGAGCAAAGCUGAGACAAGCCCUCCCCCUCUCCCCAAAAACUCCGGACCCCCCCCCUCCUUCCUCCCCCCUUCUUCUACUUCUUCUUCUUCUUCUUCGUGCCGGGGCCAUCCCCCGGUCCCACGUUCCCAGGAGGGACCCCAACGCCUCCGGCAGCGCCUGUCCCCAACCAACCCCUCCGUCCCAGCAGGGAGCGCGGAAUAAACUGCGGGGAGCAGCCA
rnacentral:lncRNA from 1 species